GUAAUUCAGAAGGAACAAGGAAAUUUAGUAACCUGCACAUGUUUAUACAACCAUGUAAUGUCUGAGCUAGACUAUUUCACCCUGCGCCCAUGUGACGCAUGGCAGUUCAUUCCAUCACACCUUGGCUCUUCUCAUGGUGAUGUCUUUAUACAGAAAGCAGAAAGGUGAUCAGCCAUUUUCCAUGUUUACAUAGAUUGCUGUCUAAAGAAGAAUUUGAAAGUAAGAAAAACUGUGAAAUCCUUCUGUUGGUCAUCUAAAGAAAUGCUGUGGCAGCCACAAUACCAAGAUGUGGCAGAACAGUGAGCUGAUAUGGAGCUAUUGCAAACCAAGCGAGUAAAAGAAAUAGCCUGUGAAUUCUAGCCUCUAGCUGUGGAAUUUUGACCUAAAUAAUACUGAGGAAGAAGAUAGCCAAGCAUGGUGUACUAUGCAGUGCUUGGAACCUGAAGGAUGAGAUGUUAGAGAACACCCAGAGAAUAACAAAAGCAGACUAGGUUCUCCAUGAACUACAACCAUGCUGAAAUAACACGAAGUAAGUAACUAUCAAAUUUGAAACUGAAUGAUUCCAAGCAACGUAUCUUUGCGGUAAGUAUUCAUCAUCAAUGCUAAAACUAUAUCAGUGCUGCCAGUUUUCACCCUGUGAAUCUGGAAGCUUUUCCAGGACAGACAUAAUGCCUUAUAAAACCCUUAGUACCCUAUACAAUGUUAUUAUCUGCUAAUAGGAAAGGGUUAACUUAUCUAACAUUGAUCAUCUACAGGCUGGCCUCCCAGAAAAGGAGCUGGCCUCCUUGCAAAAUUCCAUGAAACUGGCUACGGCUGGUGCUUAGGGCAAUUAACCAAGGUCAAGGGCUGUUACUUCACCACCCAUGAUUGGUAAUGUGCUUAAUUUCUCCUCUACCUGCCACAGUAUAAAACUGCAACCACAAAAUUAGGACCCAAACCCCGAUCCCCCCAUAGCUGAGCUGGCAGGACAG